GAUUAAGCUCAGUUGGUAAAGCAUAAGACUCUUGAUCUCAGGGUUGUGGGUUCAAGCCCCACGUUGGGCA